GAUGAAGAACGUAGCGAAAUGCGAUAAGUAGUGUGAAUUGCAGAAUUCAGUGAAUCAUCGAAUCUUUGAACGCACAUUGCGCCCCUUGGUAUCCCGAGGGGCAUGCCUGUUCGAGCGUCAUUUCACCACUCAAGCCUGGCUUGGUGUUGGGCGACGUCCUCUUUGGGGACGCGCCUCGAAACGCUCGGCGGCGUGGCACCGGCUUUAAGCGUAGCAGAAUCUUUCGCUUUGGAAGUCGGGGCCCCGUCUGCCGGAAGACCUGCUCGCAAGGUUGACCUCGGAUCAGGUAGGACUACCCGCUGAACUUAAGCAUAUCAAUAAGCGGAGGA
rnacentral:misc_RNA from 1 species